GACGAACGCUGGCGGCGCGCCUAACACAUGCAAGUCGAACGAGCGAGAGAGAGCUUGCUUUCUCGAGCGAGUGGCGAACUGGUGAGUAACGCGUGAGGAACCUGCCUCAAAGAGGGGGACAACAGUUGGAAACGACUGCUAAUACCGCAUAAGCCCACGGUGCCGCAUGGCACAGAGGGAAAAGGAGCAAUCCGCUUUGAGAUGGCCUCGCGUCCGAUUAGCUAGUUGGUGAGGUAAUGGCCCACCAAGGCGACGAUCGGUAGCCGGACUGAGAGGUUGAACGGCCACAUUGGGACUGAGACACGGCCCAGACUCCUACGGGAGGCAGCAGUGGGGAAUAUUGCACAAUGGGGGAAACCCUGAUGCAGCGACGCCGCGUGGAGGAAGAAGGUCUUCGGAUUGUAAACUCCUGUUGUUGGGGAAGAUAAUGACGGUACCCAACAAGGAAGUGACGGCUAACUACGUA
rnacentral:rRNA from 1 species